rnacentral:rRNA from 1 species
UACGUAGGUGGCAAGCGUUGUCCGGAUUUACUGGGCGUAAAGGGCGUGCAGGCGGUCUGUUAAGUGCAGGGUGAAAGCUCCCGGCUCAACUGGGAGAGGUCCUUGCAUACUGGCGGACUUGAGGGGGGUAGAGGAAAGUGGAAUUCCCGGUGUAGUGGUGAUAUGCGUAGAUAUCGGGAGGAACACCCGUGGCGAAGGCGGCCCCCUGGGCCGAUAAAAAGUCCUGUCAAGGGAAACCUUGGCUGGUACCUGACGCUGAGGCGGCGAAAGGCUGAGGGGAGCC